GGGUUGUGAGGUUAAGCGACUAAGCGUACACGGUGGAUGCCCUGGCAGUCAGAGGCGAUGAAGGACGUGCUAAUCUGCGAUAAGCGUCGGUAAGGUGAUAUGAACCGUUAUAACCGGCGAUUUCCGAAUGGGGAAACCCAGUGUGAUUCGUCACACUAUCAUUAACUAAAUCCAUAGGUUAAUGAGGCGAACCGGGGGAACUGAAACAUCUAAGUACCCCGAGGAAAAGAAAUCAACCGAGAUUCCCCCAGUAGCGGCGAGCGAACGGGGAGCAGCCCAGAGCCUGAAUCAGUGUGUGUGUUAGUGGAAGCGUCUGGAAAGGCGUGCGAUACAGGGUGACAGCCCCGUACACAAAAAUGCACAUAUUGUGAGCUCGAUGAGUAGGGCGGGACACGUGGUAUCCUGUCUGAAUAUGGGGGGACCAUCCUCCAAGGCUAAAUACUCCUGACUGACCGAUAGUGAACCAGUACCGUGAGGGAAAGGCGAAAAGAACCCCGGCGAGGGGAGUGAAAAAGAACCUGAAACCGUGUACGUACAAGCAGUGGGAGCACGCUUAGGCGUGUGACUGCGUACCUUUUGUAUAAUGGGUCAGCGACUUAUAUUCUGUAGCAAGGUUAACCGAAUAGGGGAGCCGAAGGGAAACCGAGUCUUAACUGGGCGUUAAGUUGCAGGGUAUAGACCCGAAACCCGGUGAUCUAGCCAUGGGCAGGUUGAAGGUUGGGUAACACUAACUGGAGGACCGAACCGACUAAUGUUGAAAAAUUAGCGGAUGACUUGUGGCUGGGGGUGAAAGGCCAAUCAAACCGGGAGAUAGCUGGUUCUCCCCGAAAGCUAUUUAGGUAGCGCCUCGUGAAUUCAUCUCCGGGGGUAGAGCACUGUUUCGGCAAGGGGGUCAUCCCGACUUACCAACCCGAUGCAAACUGCGAAUACCGGAGAAUGUUAUCACGGGAGACACACGGCGGGUGCUAACGUCCGUCGUGAAGAGGGAAACAACCCAGACCGCCAGCUAAGGUCCCAAAGUCAUGGUUAAGUGGGAAACGAUGUGGGAAGGCCCAGACAGCCAGGAUGUUGGCUUAGAAGCAGCCAUCAUUUAAAGAAAGCGUAAUAGCUCACUGGUCGAGUCGGCCUGCGCGGAAGAUGUAACGGGGCUAAACCAUGCACCGAAGCUGCGGCAGCGACGCUGAUGCGUUGUUGGGUAGGGGAGCGUUCUGUAAGCCUGUGAAGGUGUGCUGUGAGGUAUGCUGGAGGUAUCAGAAGUGCGAAUGCUGACAUAAGUAACGAUAAAGCGGGUGAAAAGCCCGCUCGCCGGAAGACCAAGGGUUCCUGUCCAACGUUAAUCGGGGCAGGGUGAGUCGACCCCUAAGGCGAGGCCGAAAGGCGUAGUCGAUGGGAAACAGGUUAAUAUUCCUGUACUUGGUGUUACUGCGAAGGGGGGACGGAGAAGGCUAUGUUGGCCGGGCGACGGUUGUCCCGGUUUAAGCGUGUAGGCUGGUUUUCCAGGCAAAUCCGGAAAACUAAGGCUGAGGCGUGAUGACGAGGCACUACGGUGCUGAAGCAACAAAUGCCCUGCUUCCAGGAAAAGCCUCUAAGCAUCAGGUAACAUCAAAUCGUACCCCAAACCGACACAGGUGGUCAGGUAGAGAAUACCAAGGCGCUUGAGAGAACUCGGGUGAAGGAACUAGGCAAAAUGGUGCCGUAACUUCGGGAGAAGGCACGCUGAUAUGUAGGUGAAGUCCCUCGCGGAUGGAGCUGAAAUCAGUCGAAGAUACCAGCUGGCUGCAACUGUUUAUUAAAAACACAGCACUGUGCAAACACGAAAGUGGACGUAUACGGUGUGACGCCUGCCCGGUGCCGGAAGGUUAAUUGAUGGGGUCAGCGCAAGCGAAGCUCUUGAUCGAAGCCCCGGUAAACGGCGGCCGUAACUAUAACGGUCCUAAGGUAGCGAAAUUCCUUGUCGGGUAAGUUCCGACCUGCACGAAUGGCGUAAUGAUGGCCAGGCUGUCUCCACCCGAGACUCAGUGAAAUUGAACUCGCUGUGAAGAUGCAGUGUACCCGCGGCAAGACGGAAAGACCCCGUGAACCUUUACUAUAGCUUGACACUGAACAUUGAGCCUUGAUGUGUAGGAUAGGUGGGAGGCUUUGAAGUGUGGACGCCAGUCUGCAUGGAGCCGACCUUGAAAUACCACCCUUUAAUGUUUGAUGUUCUAACGUUGACCCGUAAUCCGGGUUGCGGACAGUGUCUGGUGGGUAGUUUGACUGGGGCGGUCUCCUCCUAAAGAGUAACGGAGGAGCACGAAGGUUGGCUAAUCCUGGUCGGACAUCAGGAGGUUAGUGCAAUGGCAUAAGCCAGCUUGACUGCGAGCGUGACGGCGCGAGCAGGUGCGAAAGCAGGUCAUAGUGAUCCGGUGGUUCUGAAUGGAAGGGCCAUCGCUCAACGGAUAAAAGGUACUCCGGGGAUAACAGGCUGAUACCGCCCAAGAGUUCAUAUCGACGGCGGUGUUUGGCACCUCGAUGUCGGCUCAUCACAUCCUGGGGCUGAAGUAGGUCCCAAGGGUAUGGCUGUUCGCCAUUUAAAGUGGUACGCGAGCUGGGUUUAGAACGUCGUGAGACAGUUCGGUCCCUAUCUGCCGUGGGCGCUGGAGAACUGAGGGGGGCUGCUCCUAGUACGAGAGGACCGGAGUGGACGCAUCACUGGUGUUCGGGUUGUCAUGCCAAUGGCACUGCCCGGUAGCUAAAUGCGGAAGAGAUAAGUGCUGAAAGCAUCUAAGCACGAAACUUGCCCCGAGAUGAGUUCUCCCUGACUCCUUGAGAGUCCUGAAGGAACGUUGAAGACGACGACGUUGAUAGGCCGGGUGUGUAAGCGCAGCGAUGCGUUGAGCUAACCGGUACUAAUGAACCGUGAGGCUUAACCUUACAACGCCGAAGGUGUUU
rnacentral:rRNA from 1 species